rnacentral:misc_RNA from 1 species
UCCGGUUUGUCACCGGCAGUCCCAUUAGAGUGCCCAACUUAAUGUGGCAACUAAUGGCAAGGGUUGCGCUCGUUGCGGGACUUAACCCAACAUCUCACGACACGAGCUGACGACAGCCAUGCAGCACCGGUGUCCAGGUUCCCUUUCGGGCACACCCCCCUCUCAGGGGCCUUCCAGACAUGUCAAGGGUAGGUAAGGUUGUUCGCGUUGCAUCGAAUUAAUCCACAUCAUCCACCGCUUGUGCGGGUCCCCGUCAAUUCCUUUGAGUUUUAACCUUGCGGCCGUACUCCCCAGGCGGGGUGCUUAAUGCGUUAGCUUCGGCACGGACGGAGUCGACACCGCCCACACCUAGCACCCAUCGUUUACGGCGUGGACUAC